rnacentral:rRNA from 1 species
UUGGAGGGCAAGUCUGGUGCCAGCAGCUGCGGUAAUUCCAGCUCCAAUAGCGUAUAUUAAAGUUGCUGCAGUUAAAAGGCUCGUAGUUGAAUUUCGGGACCAUCAUGUCGGUCGUGCCUCGGUACGUACUGGCAUCGUCGGUUUCUCCCUUCUGACGAACCAUGAUGUCAUUUAUUUGGUGUUGUGGGGAAUCAGGACUGUUACUUUGAAAAAAUUAGAGUGUUUAAAGCAGGCUCACGCUUGAAUACAUUAGCAUGGAAUAAUGAAAUAGGACGUUUGAUUCUAUUUUGUUGGUUUCUAGGAUCGACGUAAUGAUUAAUAGGGAUAGUUGGGGGCAUCAGUAUUCAAUUGUCAGAGGUGAAAUUCUUGGAUUUAUUGAAGACUAACUACUGCGAAAGCAUUUGCCAAGGAUGUUUUCAUUAAUCAAGAACGAAGGUUAGGGGAUCGAAGACGAUCAGAUACCGUCGUAGUCUUAACCAUAAACUAUGCCGACUAGGGAUCGGAUGAUGUUAAUUUUUUAAUGACUCAUUCGGCGCCUUACGGGAAACCAAAGUGUUUGGGUUC